CAUUUGUAUUUGGCCAUCUUGGCUGAUGUGGCAACUUGGUUUAGGAGGGAAAUCACACAAAUUCACAAUGGACACGGGAUCCAGAAAGCAUCGGGUCGGACUUUUGGAUUUGGAUCAAUCAUGAUGGAUCCUUUAUAUAUGUCUUUUUUUCUAAUUCUUCUUCCAUACUCUUCAACAAUCUUCACAACCCUAAAACCAAACCCUAGAUCAACUCAACCUUUCUGGACGUCACAGCGAUUUCUCAUCUCUCUAAUCAGAUCUUCUUCCGCUAUUGAAGAUUCAUGUUAGCAAGAAGUAUUUUGAUGAUAAGCACCGAAAAAAUUCUACCUGCACGUCUAUUAUAUAUGUAGUACUACAGAUUCGAUUCUGGCAUAAAUGUCCGAUUGAUGUUAACUUUUUUUGUAUUCUUAUUAAUUUUAUGGAAAUUGGUUGAUUAGA